rnacentral:rRNA from 1 species
AUUGAACGCUGGCGGCAGGCCUAACACAUGCAAGUCGAGCGGUUGAGGGGAGCUUGCUCCCUGAUUCAGCGGCGGACGGGUGAGUAAUGCCUAGGAAUCUGCCUAUUAGUGGGGGACAACGUUUCGAAAGGAACGCUAAUACCGCAUACGUCCUACGGGAGAAAGCAGGGGACCUUCGGGCCUUGCGCUAAUAGAUGAGCCUAGGUCGGAUUAGCUAGUUGGUGAGGUAAUGGCUCACCAAGGCGACGAUCCGUAACUGGUCUGAGAGGAUGGUCAGUCACACUGGAACUGAGAAACGGUCCAGACUCCUACGGGAGGCAGCAGUGGGGAAUAUUGGACAAUGGGCGAAAGCCUGAUCCAGCCAUGCCGCGUGUGUGAAGAAGGUCUUCGGAUUGUAAAGCACUUUAAGUUGGGAGGAAGGGUUGUAGAUUAAUACUCUGCAAUUUUGACGUUACCGACAGAAUAAGCACCGGCUAACUCUGUGCCAGCCGCCGCAGUAAAAC